UGCUUUGGGAGAACAUGGGCUAUCUUUUUCUUCUUCUCUCUUUUUUUUAAGGUGGGUAGUAGAUACCCCUAAUUCUACUGUCGGACACUUGUCCAUUUUUUCCGCUCAAGUGGGCAUCUUUGUACCCCUAAUUUUACUCUGGACACUUGUCCAUUUUUACCUCUCGUCUCACUCUUUUUCUUUCUUUUUCGAGGUUCCGGGCACUUGCCCCUUUUUAUUUCCUCGUAUAUUUUUGCAUAACCCAUGCCUCUUCUGCAUUAAAUCUUUUUAGAGAGAGAAUAACAAUAUUCGGGACAGUGAGUGAUUAUAUUUUUAGCAAUUUUAAUGAUUGGUGAUGAAUGCUGUGGUAGAUGUGUGCAAGUGAAUAUCUUAAUUUAACCACAUGAAAAGCUCCUAAGGGUCUACACAGCUCGAUUAAACUCAAUGUGAAUAUAGUAAAAGAUGUUAUAGCAAGUAUGGCUGUGGUAGGUAGUUUUGUUAUGCUAGGAACUCAUCAUGUGAUUUGUAAGUUUUCAAAAUAAAUCUCCAGAACUUAGUGUAGUAGGGAUAAGAUAAACAGUAGCUCAACUUUAUAUCAUGUCUUUCUUUUACCUAGACUUUAGUUUUAUGCUUCCCAAAGAUAGUAAUUUUAGUUUUAGCAAUUCCUGGAAGAAUUCUAAUAUAAAAGCUAGGUACUUGUAAGUAAGCAAAUAGAGCAACUGUUCAUCAUUUCCAUCAUGCAUAUUUUUGGUCUUUUUAUUUUUUCUAGAGAUUGAACUUAGCAGGUAAAUAAAGCACACUUAUCUACACACUCUUUUUAUUUUGUUUUCAUGUUUAUAAAGUGCAGUAAAUUAAAGCAAGAAAAUAUUUAUUUGGUUUUCUAAGUUUUUUUCCUUUUAAGAUAAAUUAAAUACUAAGACAGAAUAGAAUAAAUAAGAAGAGCAAAUAGAAACUUACUUGAUAAAUUGGGGAGAAACUCCCCCAAGCUGGAUGUUGACGUCGGUCUUACCCGAUGUUCCAGAACCGCAUCAUGGUUGUGAUGUUGUCGUUCAUUGUUGUUGUAUCUUGUCUCAGCUCUUCUACUGCAGCUGCAUGGUCCUGGUUCCAUUUUUGUUGCUCUUCCAGGAGUCUUCCAUGUUUUGCUUGCGUGUUCUGGAUGUCGAGGAGGGUGUUGUCGGUACGAGUGAAGAAAGCACCGGCCUCUUGGUAAUAGUCAUUCAUGAAGGCGUAGGAGGCGUCGGAGUAUCGUCCUGCAUCAACUUGGGGUGGAGGUCUGGAUCCUGAAGCUCCAUAUGGAUCAGUGGAGUACCUGCCCGUGUGAAAAGGCGGAUUUGUCCACUGGUGAUCUUGUCUCUCCGGCCAUGUCUCCUCUGUUGGCUCUUGUGGUUGCGCAUGACGAGCCCAUGGGUCUCGAAGGACUCGUGGAUUGUAAUCGCAAUAAUGCAGGUGCGCUGCUUCUUCUGGUCCAGGGUCAGCUCCAUACCAAGUGCGUUCUUGGUGAGUGGUUAUCCUUUCAGAUGCCACUCGCUGUGGAGUUCUCUGGUUUACUGGUGUUGCUGCAAUUUCAAUCAAAAAGUUUUGCACAGAGUAGAGGCCAAGGUUCGGGUUAGGUAACCGAAUCUUGCCUUUAUCAUCAUACAGCAUAUACAUUAUGUUCCCCUCUUUCUUUAACAUCCGAGCUUGUCUAAAUGUGUCAUAGCCAUGAUAAAUUCUUAAUUCUUCUAUGAAGUCUAACGAUGAAUUUUCUAGUAAGUGAAGAUUAGAGGCUAGACGAGUGAUAAGUGAAGUACAUCCUACUGGUCCCUGAAGACUAGGUAUACUAAGCCAAUAUGAAACUAAUAGUGUAACAGGUGAAGUGGGUACUUUACUAAUAGCAGCAUAUAAAAGUUGUAAAUCUCCUACUCUUACUUUCCUAAUAUCAUCACGAUAGAAAAGAUUGUACCCAAGCCAUUUGUGAAACAUCCUAAGAGUGGGGUGUUCCAUGUCACUGGUUCGGGCUUGACUAUAAAAAUUAUCUCUAGAUAUUUCUCUCCAAAACUGGUGUCUCUCAAAAUUGGGUAAAUCGGAGUCAAUGUUCAGGAUGCAUCUUGAAGAGAAACCAAGAUGGUCGCUCAGCUCUCUCCAGGAUAACAUAAUUUCUUGUUUGAACAUCCGAAAAACAAUUCCCCCCGCAUAGUAUUGUAAGGUGCAAAGAAAUUCGAGGGUGAGAAGACGAGAACCCAGUUCGGUUAUAUUCCAAAAAUUUGUCCAACACAUCAUUUGAAAAAUUAAGUCAAAUUCAGUGUCCAUACCUGUUUCUCGUAGUAGGAUUGGAUCGAUAGUAGGGGUGUGAAUGAAAUCUUUGUUCUUCAGUUGCUGAUAGACUUCCUUCUCUCUUUGGGUCUUUAGUCCAAGGUCUCCUAUCUUGAGAAGGACCUUGACUUGCUGGCCUGAUGAAGAUGAUGGAGCUUGUGUGGGUGUCGGGUCGACGCUCAUCUCUGAUGGCUGUGAGGAGUGUCGGGCUGAACUCCUUGUACCAAUGUUCUUGAGAGCCUUCCCUGCAUUCUUCACCUUCUUUAACAUCCUGCAAACAAAAGUUGGCAAAAAUACAACUGGUGGAAAAUGUGAGAUAAAAUGUUAGUAGUCAGCCGUCCGGAGUGUCAGUAGUCCAGGGGUUAAUCGUUCAAGACAAGUUUCUAUUUUGGUAGAGCCUCCCCCUAAACACCUUUUACUUUCGCUUAGACAACUACUUACUAGGUGAUAAUCACUCUCUCAAAAGAACUCCAACCUUCCCUUCCACUCUCCUCUUUCUCUCUACUCUCUUCUCUUCACUACAAAAGCUCCUUCUCGGGAGACUGAGAUUUAUGUGGUUUUCUGAAGUGUUUGUGUGAAGAGAAGGGAAGCUGGAGGUGGCCUUUUAUAAGCUGAGCAGGGGACAGGUCGGGCGCCCAAGGUAGGUGGGCGGGCGCCCACCCCUGGUGUCCAUCCUAGGUGUGCCUCCUCCACUUGCUUCCUUGCUUUGAUCUCACACAGAAUAAUAUUGUGUUGGUAGUGGUUGGACGGUGGAAAGGUGUGAAGUGAGUGGAAACAUAUUGGUGGAUGAAAUUAUAUGAUGGGAUGUAUGUGAGGUGAAGUGUAUGACAUGUGGGACCCAAGGAGUGUGGGUCAUGCUUCUAGAAGAUCAAUAUAAAUAAAUAUAAUGCAAGAAAAUCUAUGAGAAUUGAAACUUAAUGAUAAUGGGAAAUAUUUUUGUGCCUCCAAAAUAAUUAAUAAAUAUGGGUUGUUACACACCACGAAUAUUAUUUAUAUGGGGCUUUUUGAUUAUUAUAAUUAUGCUAUGAAUGUAUGACUAAUGCAAGAAUUUAAAUAUGAGAAACUUAAUAAUGCGGGUAAAUACCAAUUUACCUCCCGGUGAGGGUUUGGGAUUUUUAGGUCCCCCAAGCUGGACCUCCAAAUCUUUUAAUCUUCUUAGUUACCUUCCUCCGGAGAUGGUGUCUUCAGUAGUUCUUCAUGAACUUCCUUCACUGUAGAGUCUUUCUCUGGUCUGGGUUUGAAUGUGAAGUGUUCUUCUUGACCGUUUAUGUUGAACUUGAUUUCUCCCUUCCCGACAUCAAUGUGGGCAUUGGCAGUGCUCAGAAAUGGCCUUCCAAGGAUGAUGGACACUUUCGAGUCAGGACUCAUGUCCAGUACUACGAAGUCUACUGGCACCAGGAAAUCUCUGAUCUUGACUGGAAUGUUCUCGGCGAUGCCCAACGGGUGUCGAACUGAUUGAUCCGCUAGUUGUAGGCACAUUGAUGUUGGUUCUAAGGUUGCAUGAUCAAGCUUUUUGUAGACUGAUGCUGGCAUCACACUGACACUUGCUCCGAGAUCACAAAGUGCAUUGUUGAAGUGUUGGUUUCCAAUCGAGCAAUCAAUAGUGGGGCAUCCUGGAUCUUCCUUCUUCUUUGGUGGUUUGUUGAGGAUGGCCGCACUACAUUCUUCUGUCAGCUUGAUAACCUCAGUGGUGGGCAGUGGUCUCUUCUUGUUAAGAAUAUCUCUGAUGUACUUUGCAUAUGUUGGUACCUGUAUGGCAUCGAGCAGAGGUAUGUUGACAUAUAAUUUCUGAAUGACCUCUACAAACUUACCAAACUGCUCAUCCGACUGCAGUCCUCUGUUUCUUCUAGGAAAUGGCAAAUAGUUGGUGUCGUAAAAAUCUUUCCUCAUUUCUCCAUUUCUUGGUAGUUGUAGCAGAUCUUCUGCUUCAACUGGGCUUUCUUCUUCUAUCACUGCUGGUUGCACUGGUGCUGAUGUUCUUUGUUUCUCUUUUGGGUAUGUUGGAUCUCUGGUGGCUUUGCCUCCUCUAGUAGUUAUAUUCUUUACCUGCUCAAGGUUAGUAGCAACAGGCAGUGCAGCAGCUAUCUUUAUUAAUUUAAGCUCUACCUUUUUAUUAAGAGUGUUUUGCUCAUCAAAGGCAGUUAGUAAAAAAUCCAUUUUAUUGUGUAUAUCUUUUAGAGACGAUUCAUUUGUAUCUAGCCUUUGUUUAACUUCGUCAUUAAUUUUGGUUUGUUGAGCAAUUAUCUCUUUUAAUGAAAGUUGCUUGAUAGUAUUACCUGAAUUCAUACCUUUGCUAUUGGGUUGACUCGAAGUUGGUUGAUAUUUGUAUGCUGUCUCAAUGGCCCUUUGAUCUUCUUUGAACUUGGCCCUCUGGUCAAUCCAAUGGAGCAAAUUUUCCAUCUUAGUUGAUAAUGCAUUUACUUCUUCUGGUAUUUCUUCAGUUUGAUGACAUUGUUGAGCUUUAUCUUGGAACCAGCUUUGAUUUUCUGCUAUCUUAUCCAAAAGUAUCUCUGCUUUUCCAGUUGUAAGCUCCAAGAAUGAUCCUUUAGCAGAUGCAUCUAGGCACUCACGAGUCUUAUGGGUUAAUCCAUGAUAGAAGGUCUGCAUAAGUAACCAUGUAGCCAUUCCAUGGUGAGGACAAUCUGAUAUGUAUCCUUGAAAACGCUCCCAUGCUUCUGAAAUGGCUUCUGUCUUCUGCUGUUGGAAACUGACAAUAUUUCCUCUUAAGGCAGUUGUUUUGCCUAUAGGGAAAAACUUUGAUAGAAAGGCAUCUGACAAGUUCGUCCAGUUGUUGAUGUUAUCUUGAUGAGUGUAGAACCACUUCCUCGCUUUCCCUUCUAGUGAGAAUGGAAAAAGGCGAAGUAGUAUGACGUCUUUGUCAACUCCGUUGAUGUUUAUUGUGCUUCCAAUUUCUAAGAAACUGCAAGUGUGCACUGGCAUCUUCAUGUGCAUUUCCACUGAAUUGUGUAGCUUGUACCAAAUUGAUGAGGCUUGACUUGAGCUCAAACUCGGGUAUUCCUUCUUCUACUGCAAAUCUUGGACCGGUUGGAAUGUUCUCAAGACUUGGAGCAGAGAAUUCUUGCAAGGUCUUGUGUGCCAUAGCUUCAACAAUUGGUAGCUAGCUUCUUCUUCUCUUGAUUGCUUUGGUUCUGAUGAUGAAGAGUUGAAUGUACCCAAAGUCAAUCCUGUUAUACCCUGUAUAAAAAUAUAAACAUAGAAAAACAACAGGGUGAACCUGCCAAAGCAGAGGUGCCUUGUUAUGAUUUCUCACUUAGUAGCUGUUUUAUGCAAUUAUUUCUCUAUAGUCUAGUCUAAUAUUUUAUAUGAAUAACCUUGACUCAUUUUCUGGCUUCCUUAAUAUUACCCUUUUGUUCCCUUUUAUGACUUAUUCCUGAGAUUCGUAUAAUUCCUAUAAGUUCCCCGGCAACGGCGCCAGAAAUGCUUGUUGACACUAGCUAACACCACUUAGAUACUAGGUUGUCAUCCCUAGCAUGGCGCCAGAGUGUACAAAGGUAUUUAUAAAUGUAAAGGCCCUUUAGAAAAUAAUCUAUUCUAUCCGCAAGCGCACAGAUAAAACACCUCAUUGUAGCAUUUCACCAGGAUAAGUAUUCCAGGUAUCGUUAUUUAUAAUUUUGCUCUAGGGAUCUAAGGAGAUGGAAUUAAAUCAAGGGACAAAAUCUAUCAUGGCAUAGACUAGAGAUAAACUUGCAAGAACAUGAUUACUAAUAAGAAAUUCGUCACAGAGUCACAUAUUUUAGCAGGGGGUAAACCAUAAAGAUAAUGAUAAUAAAGUAUAAGUUCAUGGGAUAAAGAGCACAGCGAUUAGAAAAUAGACUACUCCUCAUAUAUGUAGGUGAUGUCGGAUUAGCUAGAGAAUGGAUUCUAAGUUAUCUACUAACUACUAAGUCAUAAUCUACUCUAGUUAUCUACAAGAUCAUAUAUAGCAUAAAAGACUCUUCAUUCAUGUAUAAGGAACAUUGAUAAAGUAAAUCAGAACAUCGCAUGACUUACUCCACAAUACCGGUUCUGCAUGUCCUAUCAACGGAGGGUGGACUAUAUAAGAAUCAACGAAGCUGUCACUAUCGCGAACUACCACACGACUCGGCCAAUAGGAUACAUUUGCAGAUAAAUAACAUCUAAGCACCACGCUCACAUGUGAUCUAUCACCUAACUCCCUCGCGUCAAGAGCUAAGCGCUUUGCAAACUUAUACAUAAACUCAUUAUCAAUUAGAACUAUAUCAAAUAUAGAACUAGAGCAAACUAAGAGCAUAAUAAUUAGAGACAUAAUGCAAUUAGAACAAUAGAAUUAGAGAAAGAUAUGAAUAAUACCAAUCUUUAUUACCGAAGAUCCGAAUCCAGAGCGUAGUGCUCUACUUCUCUAAUUGCUAUCUAAUCAACCUCUAAACUUGAAGGAUUAGGGAGUAGCUAAUUCUAAUUCUCUGUGGGAGAGAGAUCUAAACCCUAACUUUGAUGGCUACCUCUGAAUAAUGAUUUCUCCUCUCUUCCUCCAGGGGCCAGGGGGUCUGGUUUUAUAGUCCCCUCAAGUGAACGUGAGCCAUUGGAUCAAACCGACAUAGAUUGUAUGGUUUAGAUUGAUCCUUUAGGUCGGUGGAGUCUUGUCCCGAAGCAGAGUCCUGAUUGGCCUCUUGGCCAGGGCGGGCGCCCAAGGGGGGUGGGCGGCCGCCCAGCUCCCGAGCCCGAUUCGCUUCCCGUUCGUUCUCGUGGCUUCUGGAUCCUUCUAGAUUGAGGAAAAUUGCGCGGCACGUAAUUAUCUCGUUGUAAACAUGACAUGUGGGCCUUCUCUCCAUAUUUUCUGAUAACUCCCUGCCGAAAUAGAUAAACACCAAAGCUCGUGGAAUUCUGUCAGAUAAAACCCUAAUUCUAGAUGUUUGUUUCAUAUUGAUCCUUUUUCAUGUUUAUUUGAUUAUUAAUUUUAGUACUUAAGGACCGUCAACAAACUCCCCCAAGCUUACCCUUUGCUCGUCCCUGAGCAAACAGCUAAACUCAGACGGAUCAGGAGUUGCUUCGAUGUUUUCUUUCCUGACAGGCACACAUGCUUUAACAUAAAAAUUCUUCCAGAUUAGAGUAAAGUUUUAUGGAGUUUAGUACCUACACUUAAAUCUGAAGUAAUCAAAACACAAAAUAGUUAAGUCAAGCACUAUCCCUCCUGUCUAUACUUCACCUUUGUUCCAGAGUUUUUUCAUAAGUUUUCAAAAUAAAACUUAGAGUUCUAGCAAUGAUUCUCUCAAGUCUCUCUAUAUGUGGUAUUUGUGGAUCCUUACCAUAAUAUCACUUACCUAUAGCUAAUGGAAUAUUUAAGUGGAGCUCAUAGGAGUGAUAAACAGCUCAUACAUAUGUUGUCUAAUCGAGCCAUGGAUCCAAAGAACUCAGCAUAUAAUUAAAUCAAGAUGUGCAUGUGUGAUGGAGUAAAUGAUAGUGAUGGUGAAAAUGCAUAAGUGAUAAUAAUAAAAUUUAGUUAUCAUUGCUCCUUAUAUUGCUAUCUCUCCUCUUCUUUGAUCUUUGCUUUGGGAGAACAUGGGCUAUCUUUUUCUUCUUCUCUCUUUUUUUUAAGGUGGGUAGUAGAUACCCCUAAUUCUACUGUCGGACACUUGUCCAUUUUUUCCGCUCAAGUGGGCAUCUUUAUACCCCUAAUUUUACUCCGGACACUUGUCCAUUUUUACCUCUCGUCUCACUCUUUUUCUUUCUUUUUCGAGGUUCCGGGCACUUGCCCCUUUUUAUUUCCUCGUAUAUUUUUGCAUAACCCAUGCCUCUUCUGCAUUAAAUCUUUUUAGAGAGAGAAUAACAAUAUUCGGGACAGUGAGUGAUUAUAUUUUUAGCAAUUUUAAUGAUUGGUGAUGAAUGCUGUGGUAGAUGUGUGCAAGUGAAUAUCUUAAUUUAACCACAUGAAAAGCUCCUAAGGGUCUACACAGCUCGAUUAAACUCAAUGUGAAUAUAGUAAAAGAUGUUAUAGCAAGUAUGGCUGUGGUAGGUAGUUUUGUUAUGCUAGGAACUCAUCAUGUGAUUUGUAAGUUUUCAAAAUAAAUCUCCAGAACUUAGUGUAGUAGGGAUAAGAUAAACAGUAGCUCAACUUUAUAUCAUGUCU
rnacentral:lncRNA from 1 species